UACGGAGGGUGCAAGCGUUAUCCGGAUUCACUGGGUUUAAAGGGUGCGUAGGUGGGUUGGUAAGUCAGUGGUGAAAUCUCCGAGCUUAACUUGGAAACUGCCAUUGAUACUAUUAGUCUUGAAUACCGUGGAGGUCAGCGGAAUAUGUCAUGUAGCGGUGAAAUGCUUAGAUAUGACAUAGAACACCAAUUGCGAAGGCAGCUGGCUACACGAAUAUUGACACUGAUGCACGAAAGCGUGGGGAUCAAACAGG
rnacentral:rRNA from 1 species